ensembl:lncRNA
CAUUUGCCAUCAUCUUUACCUUUGGUGCCAGAGAUGUAAACUUGAUUGAUCAGUGCUGAUAGGGGAAUAGAAAAGAUUUUAAAAAAAUACUGCUCAUAAACAAAUCCCAGCUAGUUUUGAACAUUUUCACAAGCAAACAAUAAAUUUAGCUAAUAUUUUUAGUUACAUAAUAACAGAAACAUUUCCUGUUCUAUGAAAUUUAUUGUUGGUAUUUCUGUAGAUACUGUGAUUGUCACAAGAAAGAAAAUAUUUCAAAUACAUGAAUUUAUGUUCUGCUGAACAUGAUAUUUACAUGGCUUGUCUUCAUUCGCAGGUUCUCCUACCCCUACCAACCCCUCACUCUUCUGCCAUCUAGUGGUUAUAUUUCCAUAUUGCAUUGCCACAGGCUUUAUAAUUUCCAUUUACUGCUGCAAGAAGACAGGAAAGACACCAGCUGUAUCCAUGGAGAUGGCACAAAAUGCUGAAAGUUUUGAGAGUGCUGGUGUCACCACAGUGCAUAACUUCUAACAAAAAAGUUGCACAGAAAGGUACAACAGAUCUCAUUAUUUACAAUAUAUGAUCUGUAAUGGCAUAUAAUGUAAUAAAAAUCUUGCAAAAUAAAUUCAUGACUGGAUCACAUCAUCAAACAACACCAGUACUGUUGUGUCCUGAGUCACUUCACAGCGCUGUUUUCUAGAAAUCACAAAAUACAAUGUAAUGGACGGAGGAUAAAAACAGAGAAAGACUAAUUUACUUUUACAGGAGAACAAGAUCAUUUCUUUAACAAUGUAUACUUCAUUGAACCCCAUGGGGGGAAAUUCCUUCUCUGCAAUUGUGGGCAGCCACCAAUCUAGUGAAUUCAUAUGAUGACAAGAAACAAUCAGCUAAGUAAAGAUAAAUGAAAGUCCGUCAUUACUUUAAGAAUUGAAGGUCAGUCAGUCUGGAAAAUUGCUAAAACCUUUAAUGUGUCCACAAGUGCAGUUGCAAAAACCAUCAAGCGCUACCACGAAACUGGCUCACAUGAGGACCACUCCAGGAAAGGAAGAGUAACCUCUGCUGCUGAGGAUAAAUUAUUCGAGAACAUUACACAAAUAAGGCCUUUAUGGUCAAAUAGCUGCUAAGAGACUACUAAAAUAGAACGGGGCUUUGGAGUUGACGUCACGCCGCAGUCCAUUGUGGGAGUGCGGCACCAUUUUAGCAGGCCACAAAUCCAAACAAACACAUUGUAUUGGAAGGAAGAUUCCUACAAACCAUACUUAAAAGCAGCUCAAAUGAAAAAGGACGUUAUAGAGACAGAUUGCAUCCACAUGCAAAGAGACGGUACUGUUAUGUGAAGGCUGUGUGCAGGCAGGAGUAGUAGUAGGAGGACCCAAGGUGCAGACACUCGGAGGCAAAACUUGAACUCAAAACAGCUUUAAUGCUAAACUCAAAUGUAACAUAACUGGAUAUAUCAAAAUAAACUUACACUGGAAGACUAACAGAACACAGCAAGAAAAGGGUAGAUCGCGACACGGACACAGAGAAACACAGGGCUUAAAUUCACAGAGGGAGCAAUCAGGGAAUGGGCAACAGGAGGGAAACACAACUGGGGCAAAUCAGGCCUAACGAGACAAAGGAAGCAGAACCAGAUACAUUAACAUAAGAUAUGCACCUCCAAAGUAAAACAGGAAACAUAACACAGACUGAACUUAAAGACACAGACUCACAGACAGGCACUACAGAGGGAACAGAGACGUGGGACCAGGGCAGACACAGACACUGACUGGACAUGGGGAUAUAGCUGACAGGGGAGACAGCAACUAAGGAUAACACAGAGACAUAAACCAAAAGACACAACUCUAACAAAGAAACCAAAGACUAGAAAUGAUAAAUAAUAUAAUAAACUCAAAACCCUGGGUCAACGACCCAGGCAUCCUAACAGGUACUUGCAGAAAAUAGCGUGCAUUGGAAAUGUGGACCCGUAUGAAAUACGGCAGUGGAGUAGAAACCCACAAGACCAACCACGAUUGACUUAGCCUGAUAUAUUAUUGUACCUGUGGAGUCAGCGCAUACACGGCGAACCAAUUUCGCAAUUCUCUGGAGGAUUGAGUACAAGAUUUGGCUAUUUUUAAGCCUCCAAGCUGUGAAUACGUCGUCAUUCAAACAAAGGUAAGUCAACUUGUGUACUGCGAGUGAAAUGCGUUUGAUUUCCCUCCGGACAUUCAGAUUAGUGCAAGCAUAAAUUCAUUCAUGAGGGGGAAAUUACAGUGAGAACAUGUGGAGGCUGUUAGAUGGAUAAUAUAGUGAGUUCAGUGCAUUGAUGUGACAUUGUCCUGAAGGAUUUAGUCAUUCUUUAAGGUUAAAGAAAUUGCACUAAUUAAUUCACAUUUAUUAUAAAUAAUCCUAAUUAUACAUAUUGCUUCAUUGUUUGUGUCCUGUGUCACUAAGAAUAUAUUCUAUUUUAGUUUUAUACAUUGAUCAAUGACCUGCAAAAUCUCCUUAUCAUAUUAGGUGAUUCAUAAUUGUCAU